UUGAUCAGCCUUCUAGACUAGAUCUAGCAUCUCUAGCUAGACUCUAACUUGUAGUUUGUAGAUCUUGGAAUUGGAUCAAAAUAUUCACCUUCCUAAAUUGUCUCUAAUGUCUUUAGCUGAUUUGAGAGGCCCAACGAGGCAAGAGUCUAUUACUAUUAGUACUCUGUCUCUUGAUCUAUCUAGUAGGCCUACUUAGCUAGUGCAUUAGCUUUAGCCAUAGUGUAGUCAAAUCUUGACAACUAGUCUUCUAGAUCUAAGCUUCUAGAAUAAUUAGGUCUAGAUACAGUUUAGAUUUAGAAUAUAAAAGUAUUUUACUAGCUAAAAUACUAAAUCUACUGAUCUAAAUUCUAGAUAGAUAUACAAUAUAUAGAUCCAGUUUAGAUUUGGAAUAUAAAAAUAUUUACUAACUAAAAUUCUAAAUCUACUGAUCUAUACUUAAUAUUUUAGAUAUUAUAUGACAUCUACAAAAAUUAUUAUUAAGAUAUAAUUAUAGAUUCUAGACUAGUUAUUUAUGUACAUAAAAUAUAUAAAUAAAAGAUAAAAUUUAUGCAGGCCUAGAUCCCAUAAAUUUAUAAUUGAUCCAGAUCUAUCAGUAAAAGUUACCUUCGAUGGGAAGUUUUACCCAAUCUAAUAUAUAUAUACAAGACAAUUUAUAAACCAUGCCUCGCCUACACCCCAUUCCAUGCCAUGCCCAGACCCAUGAGUUCAUGAAAUAAUAAAUGAUGUGGUGUGAAGUUGGAUCUAUCCCCUGAAAUUCAGCACUUUAAUAUAAAACUCACAUAUCUAGUUAAUUAUUUGCUAUGACACUCUGAUCAACUUGGACUUGUGUGAUACAUAUAUGUUUCUUAUCAGAUUUAAUGAAUGAAGAUUUGGUGCAUUUUAAGGCUACAAAAGUAUCAUCAGGUGUAUUCUAACCAUUGGUAUUUUUCCUGGCAACAUUUCUAUUCUAGUCUGUGAUAAAUUAUAAAUUUAAAAAAAUGUUUGUAAUGUUUCAGCUAUUAACAAGUAGAACCAUGCCAACCAGUUCUGAUGAUGUACCAGAUUGGCUCAAGGAUCAUACUUAUACUAUUUCUACUCUCUGGGCAGACGUUAAUAAUAUUGGCAUCCAUUCAAUAUUUAUUUUAUGUUUGGAAAUGCAAGAAAAAGGCAUGCAUUCCUGACAAGUCAAUGAUUGGUUGCACCUCUUAAAGAUAACUUUCUGUUAUGAGAAAAGAUGAGAUUCUUGGACUCCUGCAUAGCACCACCAGAAAGGAAAAUCCCAUCAUGUUGCAAAAUAAAAGUCUUGGACCAAUUUUAAUUUAAGAUAUAUAUAUUAUGCUGUAAGCUCUAUACAUAUUUAUGUAUAUCCUGUCACUCAGCCAACAGGUUUGGAUUUAGUAUUUCUUUAAAUCUGUUUGAUAUUGUACUUGAAAAUUAUUAAUCUGAGCCCCAUUAAAACCAUAGGGAGUGCAGUGAAUGAGUGGUAAAGCACUUGGCUUUUGAACUGAGGGUUCCUGGGUUCGAUUAAGACUGGGAUUUUCAAUUUCAGAAUUUAAAAGGCUAGGGAUACAUGGCAAUAGUAAGGAAUAAGUAAAGGCAGUUUGGGGAUCCAUGGCUGAAUGGUUAAGUCAUGGGUUUGAAUCUCUGUGAAGACUCAGAUUUAAUUUUUUUAGAUUUUUGGGUGCCCCUGAGUCCACCUAACUCUAAUGGGUAGCUGACUUUCGUUUUGGAAAGUAAAGAUGGUUGGUUGUUGUGCUGGCCAUAUGCUGCACUGGCCAAAG